rnacentral:lncRNA from 1 species
UAGACUGUGCUACUUAAUUGGAUAGAAAUUGUAUUCUUGGUUAUUUUAGUCUAAAGUUUACAUUUUAAUGUAACUUAUUGUUUUCUGUUUGUCCUUUUUUUUAGUGGGUGAAAAUACUAGAAAUAAGCUGUUCUGCCUUGAGGAAAAAGCUGUUCUAGAACCCUGAGAGAUCUGAUGAUCCACCUUCAACUUUUCAGAGAAAGGAGAAAUGCAAAGGAGUGGCUUCUUUCAGUCUUCAGUUCCACAGUUCAACCUCGUUUCCAUUCAGCGUUAAUAUGGAGGCAGAGGGUUUCAACCCAUCAGCGCCAGAACCGUAUCAUCUUUGCCAAAAUCUGUACCUGCAACAUACCUGUCCUGCGUUCUCCCUUUUACUCUGUAUAACUCCAUUUUGAAACAAAAGCUUGAAUCUAAUUCAUAGAAUCUCUUAGGGUGCAGACACCCUAAGAGAAAGGAAAGCUGGGGAAAGAAGUUUGGGGUUCUCUAUUGAGAAAACAAGAUUUCUCCUGUGCGGAGCCAUGAUAGAUAAUAGGAAGAGACCAUUCGGAAGAUUUUGGGUAGCCACGAAUGCAGAUUUUCAUUGUAUUCAUCAUAAUUAUCUCAUGUGAUCUGGCAACUCAGGACCUAACUGCUCAGCUAUAGACUGAGCACCAAGAAAAUCAAAACUCUUUGAAGGUUCCCUACCUCUGCUUAGCCUCCUCUCUGUGGGGAAAUUCAGGCUGGCUAUUUAGCCAGAGCUGCCUCGAAAGAGAACAAUUACCACAACUUAUGGCAGGGACUUUAUGCUCAGUAGUGCAGAAGCUCCCCAGGCACACUACCAACUGUGACAAAAGAUGUGGAGUCUCAUUGGUGCAGAUUGGAUUCAUCACAAAUUUCCUGGAGGCGUGAUCAAGCAGUAGAGUGCCC